UACGUAGGGGGCAAGCGUUGUCCGGAAUCAUUGGGCGUAAAGAGCGUGUAGGCGGCCCGGUAAGUCCGCUGUGAAAGUCCAGGGCUCAACCCUGGGAUGCCGGUGGAUACUGUCGGGCUCGAGUCCGGAAGAGGAGUGUGGAAUUCCGUGGUGUAGCGGUGAAAUGCGCAGAUAUCAGGAGGAACACCAAUGGCGAAGGCAGCACUCUGGGACGUGACUGACGCUGAGACGCGAAGCGUGGG
rnacentral:rRNA from 1 species